rnacentral:rRNA from 1 species
GACGAACGCUGGCGGCGUGCCUAACACAUGCAAGUCGAGCGAUGAAAUCCCUUCGGGGAUGGAUUAGCGGCGGACGGGUGAGUAACACGUGGGUAACCUGCCUCAAAGAGGGGGAUAGCCUCCCGAAAGGGAGAUUAAUACCGCAUAACAUUAGUUUCUCGCAUGAGAGAGUAAUUAAAGGAGUAAUCCGCUUUGAGAUGGACCCGCGGCGCAUUAGCUAGUUGGUGAGGUAAAGGCUCACCAAGGCGACGAUGCGUAGCCGACCUGAGAGGGUGAUCGGCCACAUUGGAACUGAGACACGGUCCAGACUCCCACGGGAGGCAGCAGUGGGGAAUAUUGCACAAUGGGCGAAAGCCUGAUGCAGCAACGCCGCGUGAGUGAUGAAGGCCUUCGGGUUGUAAAGCUCUGUCUUUUGGGACGAUAAUGACGGUACCAAAGGAGGAAGCCACGGCUAACUACGUGCCAGCCGCCGCCGUAACAC